GGAGAGAUGGCCGAGUCCGGUUGAAGGCGCACGACUCGAAAUCGUGUAUCCUGAUUAAUACUCAGGAUCGGGGGUUCGAAUCCCCCUCUCUCCGCCA
rnacentral:tRNA from 1 species